rnacentral:lncRNA from 1 species
UGGCCCACCUGGAUACUCUCCAUAUUUUAAGAUCAACUGAUUUGGAACCUUAAUUAUGUCUGCAAAACUCAUCACAGCUGUUCCCAGAUUAGUGAUUAAUUGAAUAACUGGGAGCAGGUGUGUGUAUAGCAGAGGCUGGGAACCUCAGGGGGCCAACUUAGAAUUCUACCUACCACAGGUUUCAAUAAUAAGUAAGAGUUUCUUCUUCUCCCAAGAAGGGUUUGGAAGAUCUGUAUUCCUGAACUGCUGCAAGCUUGAGAAACUUGUCUAAUAACUAGAAUGGAGCCCUAGGGAACAGCGAGCCCGGGUGAUACUUUUCUGUCUCCUCUGGUAUGCAGCAAUGAGCCAUGGCAUGAAGUCAGACUGGAAAGAUUUAUGCUGCAGCUGAAAUUUUGCAUGCCUUUAAACUUGGGGAAUUCCUUUCUUAGAUAAACUAAUCUGAACAGCAGUUCGGAGGACCGCGAUAAUUGGGACACAUGAUACGCAGAGGUUUGCAAAAGCCAGGCUGAGAGUGUUGGGAGAAGAAAAGGACAAGAUGGAAGAGCAGAGGGAAGAGGUGCUCAGAGGGCGCGGUCCCCCGGCAGUACCCCAUGCACUGGCAAGGAGCUCCGCUGGGGAAGCCAGAAGCUUAAUCAAGUCCCGAAGUAAAUGGAACCAUGGGCAGUCUACCAGAUUAGAAUUUCCUCCGUUAUUUCCUUCUACAAAGAACUUUUGUAACCAUUAGAGAAACAAAAGCACGUUUACAUCCAUCAAUUUCCAUUACUCAAACUUCCCUGCAUUGUAUCUAUUGACAAAGUAUUCACAGAUUAAAUACGAUGCGGGCAAAUAUCAGUAAGUGGCUGCAAAGUUUAAAUAACAGCAACAGUGUAAUAUAAGGUAACACUAAUUUGAUCUGAUCCACCUGUCCACGCCAAGAACUCCAAAGUAAUUGCCAUUUUACAAUCCCUGCACCUGGAUUCUGUAUUAAAUUUCAGGUGGACUUUUAUAUAAAUUUCACAUUAAUUUAAUACCAAAACUGUGAAAUGAAUUCACCCUAAAUGCACCAUGUGGACUCAGGGAAGUUAGAUGCUUUGAUAUGAUAGUUUCAGUUAUAUAUGAUAAAAGGAAGUUUAGAGCUAUUGUAUUUCCGUGUUUAUUCUCCAGUUAGUGAUAUAAAAUUUUAAUGUUCACAUAAUCUUCCCAAAGGAAACUUCAAUUUCUCUACAUGGCAUUAUGAUAGUUGCGGCACCAUUUAAAAAAUAAUGGUAGUUGUACCUGUGAUUUAUGGAUUUGAGUGCGCCAUAUGAUAUAUAUGGCAUUAAUUGAGCAAGAUGAAAUCCAGAAGCAGUCAAAUGCUCAUCUUCCCAUCUCGGCACAAAAAUCCGGAAUUCUGAUCUGCCAGAAACAUUAUUUAUUAGCACAUUAGAUGCCUCAUGCUCUGAAAUGCUCAAAACUCUGUCAGCACUUUCUGCUUAAAUCUUUGAUGCUCCAGUCAACUUUUCCUCUUUCCUUUCCCCGUUUUUCUGUUUCUCAUUCUCUCUCACACACACACACUGACACGGCUUAUACUUCUUGUCUCGGUUUGCAACGCAUUUGCUUUUGUACGUUUGAAUGCUCAAGGGAAUUUGGAGACUUCUGAUCGUGUUUAUUUUUAUUUGUUUGAAUAAACAAGAUUCCCAUCAACACUUUGUCUUCUCACAGAGCCCAAUUUUUCUCUCUCAGUUUCUUUUAACUCUAAGGAGACAAGAAGGAACAAUUUAGCCAGUCUGUCUUAAGAGACAGGCACGGUCUAGGGUACUUUAGGUACUUAUCUCUUGUAAUCUUCAUACCUACUCCAGAAGAUUCGAUCAUUUUAUUCCUAUCUCUAUUCAAACAUCACCCUGUCAGGAAAGCCUUCUAGAUAAAAGGCUUUAUCUUCAUGAACCUCUCUAAUAGGAACCCCUCCUACCAUCUCAAUCCCCUUUUCCUCAGUUGUGUUUCUGCUUAGCACUUUUUAUCACCUGACAUAUUAUAUAG